rnacentral:rRNA from 1 species
AGAGUUUGAUCCUGGCUCAGGAUGAACGCUAGCGACAGGCUUAACACAUGCAAGUCGAGGGGCAGCGGGGUGUGGCAACACAUUGCCGGCGACCGGCGCACGGGUGAGUAACGCGUAUGCAACUUGCCUAUCAGAGGGGGAUAACCCGGCGAAAGUCGGACUAAUACCGCAUAAAACAGGGGUCCCGCAUGGGGAUAUUUGUUAAAGAUUCAUCGCUGAUAGAUAGGCAUGCGUUCCAUUAGGCAGUUGGCGGGGUAACGGCCCACCAAACCGACGAUGGAUAGGGGUUCUGAGAGGAAGGUCCCCCACAUUGGUACUGAGACACGGACCAAACUCCUACGGGAGGCAGCAGUGAGGAAUAUUGGUCAAUGGCCGGGAGGCUGAACCAGCCAAGUCGCGUGGAGGAUGAAGGUCCUAUGGAUUGUAAACUUCUUUUGUGCGGGAAUAAAGUCGGGGACGCGUCCCCGUUUGCAUGUACCGUACGAAUAAGCAUCGGCUAACUCCGUGCCAGCAGCCGCGGUAAUACGGAGGAUGCGAGCGUUAUCCGGAUUUAUUGGGUUUAAAGGGUGCGUAGGUCGCCGAUUAAGUCAGCGGUGAAAUCCAGUGGCUCAACCAUUGGACUGCCGUUGAAACUGGUCGGCUUGAGUAUGAUUGAGGCAGGCGGAAUGCGUGGUGUAGCGGUGAAAUGCAUAGAUAUCACGCAGAACCCCGAUUGCGAAGGCAGCUUGCCAAGCCAUGACUGACACUGAAGCACGAAAGCGUGGGUAUCAAACAGGAUUAGAUACCCUGGUAGUCCACGCAGUAAACGAUGAUUACUAGGAGUUUGCGAUACAGUGUAAGCUCCACAGCGAAAGCGUUAAGUAAUCCACCUGGGGAGUACGCCGGCAACGGUGAAACUCAAAGGAAUUGACGGGGGCCC